rnacentral:lncRNA from 1 species
UUUAUUUUAGUUUUGUUUAUUAUAUUUGCUAUUGUUUUCUUUUUGAAUUGCCAUGAAUGCUACUUUACUACACCAUAGUGUAUAUAUAUUUUUCUAAUAAGCCAUGUAAGUAGUAGCAUGCAAUAUAUAUCAUCAUUGGGAAUUUUAGACAGUGCAUAAAUCAAAAUAAAAUUUAAUUUAACCAAUAAUGCCAAUAGCUUCAUAAAAAUAAACAUAAUGUAAUAUUUGACUGAAAAAUAAAA